rnacentral:lncRNA from 1 species
UUUUCAAGUGCAGUUGUCGUCUUUUUUUUUUUAAAAAAAAAUUGCGAACACAAUGUUAAUCCAUGCAAUUUAGUAGUGCAUCUGCACUAACUCUAUUAAGCUACAAAGCUUAAUACCAUGUCCGCAUAAAAAAUAAUGAGAGUGCCCACACACUAUAUAUAUAUAUAUACGUACAUAUAUAUAUAUAGGAUUUUUUACUGUAUUAAAGAGCGAGAACGACUUUUCACAAUAUUAUAUACAGAUUUUACAACUUUCUAAAACUCGUUGAAAAAGCACUCAUAUUGUAAUCUCACAUUUUUUGAAUAAUUACAGCAGAUAUUAACUAGCAUUAAGUGCUUGUUUGAUUUAAAGAAAUAGGAGGAGAGGAGGUGAGAGGAAAGGGUAGAGCGGGAGAGAAAAAGAGGGUUAAUCUCAAUUUUAUUACUUGAUUUGAUAUGAAAUCAUUUCUUAUUUCCUUCUAUUCGUUAGCUAAGCUUAUUUUCUUUUACAUUCAUGCAGUUUAAUUCUAGAGAUAUAUAAACAAUUCUCCUAAUACUACAUCUACAAAUUUAGAAAAAUAAAUUGGAGAAUUAGAAUCAAAAUCGUGCAUGUGAAUUCACAUGCAUAUGUUUUGGGUCGGUGCCUCGACAUGUUAACUAGUGAUUUAGGGACACUAGCCUAAUUAACAAAAUUAAAAACUUUAAUUAUUGUGGUUAAUCACAUUGAGGACAGCAGAAAUUAACUAAUUACAUUUUUUGUGGCAAAAUUCAAAUAGAAGUUGAAUUUGAUUUUUCUAUAUCUGACUAUCUGUGGACAAUAAUAUUCUCAAUGUGGGUCACUUGAAAUAUGAGAGUUUACGUGAUUAAUUUGUAGUGGGUUUAUUGAAUUGCACAUGUUCAAUUUUAUAAGCUUUGAACUUUCUUUAAUUAAAUGCAAUUUUAAAUCAAAUCUAUUAAAAAACAAAAAACAAUUUGCCGUACUAUUUAAUACUUUAUUUGGCAGUAUUUAUUUUGUCAGCGCAAACUCAAAUAAUAAUUAUUUAAAAUUAAAAUUUUAACUAAAAAACAAAUACGUUGCUGUUCCAGUAUUAAUGAAAAUUCGCCAGUCGAUUUUGAUACCAUGUGCAAAGCCGAGCUUGAGAUGUAUAAUUUUUAUGACAAUAUCUUUUAUACUUCGAAUUACACUUAUUUUUUUAUUUUUUAAAUUGCAAUUUUUUAAAUUUUCUAUAGUAAUAUUUUCUUCACUUUCGCAUUAGCUAUGAAUGUUUUUGUAUUCAAGGGAAGAAUUACCACAUUGAUGCAUCGACGUUAAUUUUGUAAUGGAAAAAUUAUUCAAUAACGAUCCUUUAUCCCUUAAUCUUGUCUUUAAUUACUUACCACGUUUUACAUUUUGUUAUAACACAUGGGAUUAAAAGAUUAUUGGUCCACUGAUUAAGAAAAAUGUCUAGAUUAAUUAACACCGGUAAGGGUUUUAUCAGGAAUUUAAACUGAUACACUUAUUAUAGUAUAGUUCAUCUAGAUAUUUAUCCAUAUUAGUAUUUGAGGAGAUAUUAUUGAAUCCCGAAUGGCCAUGAUGAGGGCAUAUAAUGGGACUUGAAUUAGUAUCCUCAACAUUGUAGCCUGGUUAGAAGUAAUAUAUAACAUUGUAUAUCCUCAAAUAACACAAGGCUUUUUGAGAAGAUUCAAAAGUAAAAUCAUACUAACUCAAGUCCAAAAUGACCACAAAAAUGCUACUUUGAUGAAAGAAAAGGUUACAAAAUUUUGUUUGUCUUAAUAUCCUAUCGUACGAGAACAUGUGAAUGUGAAGAAGGCUGACGAAGAGCGGGGACAGAUCCAGGAUUUU